rnacentral:lncRNA from 1 species
ACAAUGCUCCUAUACCAUCUAUAUAUAGUAUGUGAGUUCUGGUAUUAUAGUAUCGUUUUCGAUUUUAGAGUACUUAAAUCGAUGAUUCACACCGUUAAACAUAAUUUAGAGUAUUUGAAAAUCUAAAAACAAAAUUUUUUUAAAAAAUUUUUUUUGUAUUGAAUUGUGUAUUUGCAUAGCCAAUUUUGGUAUAAGCUGAUGAUAGAUUUUUGGAAUCGGAAUGUAUGAGUUUAAUAAAAUUAUAUCUAAAUCUACGUACAUAACUUUGAAACCAGAAUAGGAUAUUAAAGAGUUACAGUAAAAAAUAUACUUGUCUUCGUACGUAAUAUCAUAUUCUGCAUAUUAUAAUAAAUUAGUUACCAUAUAUUAUUUGCAUUUCACGGAAAAAUAAAGAAGCUUAUUUCUAUUUG